rnacentral:rRNA from 1 species
UACGGGGGGGGCAAGCGUUGUUCGGAAUUACUGGGCGUAAAGGGCUCGUAGGCGGCCAACUAAGUCGGAUGUGAAAUCCCCAGGCUUAACCUGGGAACUGCAUCCGAUACUGGAUGGCUUGAAUCCGGGAGAGGGAUGCAGAAUUCCAGGUGUAGCGGUGAAAUGCGUAGAUAUCAGGAGGAACACCAAUGGCGAAGGCAGCUCGCUGGGACGGUACUGACGCUGAGGCGCGAAAGCGUGGGGAGCAAACAGG